AUUGCUUCUUGGCCUUUUGGCUAAGAUCAAGUGUAGUAUCACAGGUUGCUAAUGAGUCUUCCUCCAAUCCCCACACCAUUGUUCAGCUUCUUCAGUUAACAUGAUAAAAAAAGACUGAUUAAAUGAAAGGAUACAACCUUGGCACACAUCUUUUCUGAUUUUAAAACGUGUUAUUCCUUGUUCUGUUUGGGUUACUGCCU